CACACACACACACACACACACACACACACACACACACACACACACACACACACACUCUCAGGAUGCCACUCACACACACUCAUACACAGUCACACCUACUGAGUGAACACAGAGCAGAUCCAUAGUCCACUCACACGUGGGUGUGUGCUUCUUCCUCUUUACUCACAUUUUUGGCUUGUUUCACAAAGACACACCCACUUUGUUUUGUAGGACAGGACACACACACACACACAGACACACACACACACAGAGUGAGAGAGGAACAGAGAGAGGGGAGUGUGUAACUCUGUCACUGUCAGAACACAGCAUGAGGCAGGAACUACCACUUGAAGCAACUGCUCAGUUAGAGGACUGGUGUAAGAUGGGACAGAGGGGGAAAUCUUCUGAUGAAACGGAUGCUCUCACUGUGGCCAAAUUCUGAAGACAAGGAAGGUUUUGCUCGCAAGUGUUAGUCAUUAGGCGAAACUGGGAGGAGACAGGAGAUAAGAGAGAAGCAGAAAACAGACUUUUACCUACGCCAUGUCAGAGGAGAGGGCAAAGAGGCAGCAUGGACGGAUGGACGGAGCAGCAGGGAGGAUGACAUCACCGUCACCCGUGGGAGCCAGAGCCUGCCAUUCAUGCCAGCAGUGUGUGCGCGUUUGUGAGUGUGUGUGUGGGAGCCUCUGUCUCUACGUGUCACUUCCUGGGAGAGAAUAGGACAGGAAGCCCGAGUGAGAGCCGACAACAAGCACUCGCCUCACCUCCACAAGGAAGCCUUUCUCCCUAGAGAGCAAAAAAAAGGGAGGUGUGUGUGUGUGUGUGUGUGUGUGUGUGUGUGCCUCACUCACUCCUGCAUUCAUACUGCAGUGGGCUGGUGUUGGUGUGGGGUUUGUGUAAGCCUCUACUGUUUCCAUUUCUUUUAGUUCAAGUCUGACUUUUUUUUUUUAAACAAGAAAAAAAGAAAAAAAAAACAUUUGGACAAAUCGCGAUCACGUUUUCUUUAAAAGACUGGCGCGCACAGACUUGGCAAAAAGGCGGCAUACCACCCCACCAUGCAGGAUAGAUGCUGGUCAGACACCGGGUUACAGAGAGAAACAAAAAUGAGGGGAAAAAAGACAAGAAAUACAUUGGAAUUUUGCAAGAGGGAGCAUGUGUGACGACAGAAGGACUGAGGUGUAACUGAAACCUAUUUUCAUCUGGUCAUUACUUAUUAUAAUUUUCUGUUAGUAUCUGGUUUAUGAUUGUAUGGAGGUGCACUUUAGAAUCGAGUUCCUGCUAACAGUGAAAGCCAGAGAGUCAUCUGUCACAUAGGACUGACACUGCCAGAGUUUCAAAUCUUUUCUUACGCCCUAAUGUUAACCAUGGACUGGUACUGUUUUCACCCUGGGAGUCGUGUGUGUGUGUGUGUGUAUGUGUGUCAUGGAGUCACCUACUGUAGCAGGAACCGUCACAUAUGGUUCUUAGUACUUUGCCAGUUGUUUAUAUGUGUUACUUAUCAGAGUACAUCAGGCAGCGGGGAAGCUGAAACAUCUUUAUCAUCAUUAUCUUCUCACCUGGAUCUGGAUUUGCAGCAGCUGGACAUGAAAAAAACAAACCUCGUGGAGAUACCAAAAUCCUUUGUUGGAUUGCUUAUACUAUUAUUAUAUUAGCUUUAUAGUCACUCCUCUAUCUGCCUUGUGCUGGAGUGUUUCCCGACUGACCUGCACCACAUCGUAUCUCUGCCAGUACUGACCACCCCUCCUAAACCAAGAGAGCCUCCCCUGUAUCCCUGUGUGGAUAUACAGGCAGCCACAUUGCCACAGUAACUAUCUCACAAUGUGGCAUGGGAGCUUGUACAUGCCCUGUCGCCCUCUCGUGCCCAUAAGCAGAAUUACAGGAGUCAGGCGGCGCGAUGAAACCACAUGUGACAGCAUGACAAAAUAUUAUGCCAGGGAUUUAAGUGCAUAUCAGUGUGAGGUCAAAUCUGCUCCAUUAGUUUAACUAUGAAUCGCUGUCCAGCUCCCUCUGCUGCCCCCGCCCCGCUAAGCCGACUGUGGGAUGUCAUUAAACCCAGAAUAAUGUUCCAACCUGGGCGUGCGGAUUUGUCAUGCCUUCUAACACCUCUUCCUAGUGCAGGUCAUCUGACACUCGACUUUCAAAACACCUGGAUGGGCCGCUGGGACAAUGCAGCAUUUAGUGUAGCCUUGUCGCCAUGACGACCUGGCCGGUUACAUAAGUGCAUGGCGCCGGUUCCCACAAACGGCUGCCUACAGAGGUCUUUGUGCUGUGACACGAGACACCACGCACACACAAACACACACACACACACACAGUCAGUGUUUGUACAUUCCUGUAGCUGGAUGUGCUCCUCUCACACAGGUGUGAGGACGGCAAAACAAUGAGCCACUUUAGCCAGCCAUUUAAUCUGAGGUUUCAAUUCAGAUUUCUCUCCUAGCAAGUGGUGAGAAUUUGCAAGCUUGGUGGUUCACUUUGCACUCAGUGUAAUUAGGCUCAGCAUUUUUCCUGAUUCUGCUCAUUGAUUCAGACUCAUUUGAAAUUCCCCCAGUCAACUAAUCUCACUAAUUGUCUAAAGCUGGACGGUAACCGUGCGUUACGUCGUGUUGACUCACUUCAUGUUUUAAUCUGCCUCUCUGACCAACAUAAGAAUUGAACCCCUGGUCAGUUUUGUUAAAGAGAUAUUAACGGUGUAAAUUUGAUCCAUGGUCUAACACGCCGUGACACCGAGUAAGACCCCCCCUUGAAAGAUCAAGUUUGCAGAUUGCUAGUUUACGUAGUUUUAGCAACCUCAGAAAUGAACGCACGAUAAUAAUAUAUUGCAGUAUAUACCUCCACCAACAAACCACCAUCAAAAAGCCACAAAUACUGCUCAGAAUAGCACCAAACUUCAGCAACAGUACAAAUAGGGUCGCAGCACAUAGUUCGAGGCAUCAUACGUCUGCUAGCUUAACCAGAGUUCUAUUGUAAAGUGAACACAACUCACCACUCUCCUGCAGCAGCUUCCUGUUGUGGGGAAGUCCCUGUGAGUUGACUGCAGGAUUAAACAACUCAAAGUGGCAAUAUAAACCAUUUUGAAAUCAGCUUUAAAAAAAUUUAUUAAAAAUUGUCAUCGGAAUGUGAAUGAACAGCAGUUUUGACAUUAUAAAUGUAUUGUGCAGAAAUAUCUGCUCAAUUUAGCAUGUUAACCAGCUAGCGCUAACACUCCCGCUUGCUGCAUGCCCAACUGAGCCAACGAGCUAAGGCAGCUACAAAUAGCAACACGUAAUGGUUACUCUGGCAAUAUGCAGCCCUUUAUUUGUUUUGAGUAUGAAUUUGAAAGCGGGCCAAUUCUUUCAUAUUGCACCUUUAACGAAAUCGUCCACAGGAUUGUGUAAGCCAUCGAGAGAGGCAGGGAAGAUCUGAUGUUUCACACUUAGAAUCCGCUCACAAAUGGCCAGUAAAAAAGUGGUACAUUUACAGUACAUGUAUACUACUACACAUUGUUACAUAGUAUAUAUAUUGUUACUGAAAAUUGCUCUGACAAGCCCUCUCGCUGAUUUGCUGGGACCCAUAAUCAUGUUCGUCGGGAGUGUUGUGGCAUGAGAAAGGUGUGUCACUGUUACGUGAACAGGCGUGGGUCAUGCGUCCAUCCGUACCUGCAGGACAGGUACAAUGAGUUGCAUUCAGCGUCACAUAGCUUUAGCUCAGGGGAUGCCAAGUGAGCUAUUGUUGGAGUCAAGGGUGUGUGCAGCAGUAUCAUAAGCGUGCGUACAUGCAUAAACACAUUCAUUCACAGGGGCUCUGUUGUGCGGUUAUUCUUCUGUCUUCUUGCCUGUAGGAUCAAUGGCAGCGUCGAUAAGGCUGUAAGUACCCAAAAAUGGCUGAGCACACAUUACCAUACACUGGAUGUUUUAAAGAACGCCACGCGUCAGUAUGCAGCUGACAACACCUCUCCUGAAUUUGUCCAUAUACAGGCGUUGCUUGUCAUGGACUGUCAUCCUCAUUUGUUGUGAUGUCUCCUCUGUUUGAAUUCCUCUCUUCUGCCGGAGGCGAAUUUUCACGUACCAGCCGUCCGUGUCACUGCGCUGCCAUGACAACCACGCUCAUGUUUAAGGCAGUCUCUGAAUAAGAAGCGCUGUCAUGUUUACUCCUUCCCUGACAGAACAGCUCAUCAUCCGACUGACCCACGGAUGGACAUACUGCAGCGAGGACGUCAGUAGGAAAAAAAAGUAUGACUCAACUAACUUGACUACCUGUGAUGUCGCAUCUGUUUUUGAAGUGUGGCUGAAUGCCUUUUCACGGCUUUGUGGUUGCUUUACUGUCAUGACUGCCUCUGCCAAUGAGGCUUCUGCCUGUGUCCUUUGGUCGGUUGGUUUGUCAGCAGGAUUACACUAAAACUGUUUUACAGAUUUGCGCUCAACUUGGAUGGAGGAUGGGUCUCAGCCAAGAAUAGACCCCAUUAAUUUGAGGCAGUGUGCAUCCAGAUAGAGAGACAGAUCCAGGAAUCUCUGCUCGCUUUCUUUAACAUGGUGAGGUGGGGCGUUUACGUUAAUGUCCCAGGAAAUCAUGCAUGGAUCUGGAUGUUGAAAACAUUAGGCACAUAGGCGGCUGGUAUCUAUGAAUGUGUGCAAUUUGAUGCUGAUUGAAAUAAAAAUCAGGAUCUACGGA